GAUGAACGCUGGCGGCGUGCCUAAUACAUGCAAGUCGAGCGAACGGACGAGAAGCUUGCUUUUCUGAUGUUAGCGGCGGACGGGUGAGUAACACGUGGAUAACCUACCUAUAAGACUGGGAUAACUUCGGGAAACCGGAGCUAAUACCGGAUAAUAUUUUGAACCGCAUGGUUCAAAAGUGAAAGACGGUCUCGCUGUCACUUAUAGAUGGAUCCGCGCUGCAUUAGCUAGUUGGUAAGGUAACGGCUUACCAAGGCAACGAUGCAUAGCCGACCUGAGAGGGUGAUCGGCCACACUGGAGCUGAGACACGGUCCAGACUCCUACGGGAGGCAGCAGUAGGGAAUCUUCCGCAAUGGGCGAAAGCCUGACGGAGCAACGCCGCGUGAGUGAUGAAGGUCUUCGGAUCGUAAAACUCUGUUAUUAGGGAAGAACAUAUGUGUAAGUAACUGUGCACAUCUUGACGGUACCUAAUCAGAAAGCCACGGCUAACUACGUG
rnacentral:rRNA from 1 species